rnacentral:lncRNA from 1 species
AGAAAAGGUCAUUGAAGACUUGAGAGACUUUAUUUUGAAGACUACUUCUGACAUGAAUGAGGUAUAAUUACCUAGGAUUCCUUAAGAUUUCAUUGCAUUCCUUGGCUUUGUUGGGGAACAACAUGUAUUAGAAAAUUAAAAUUACAUGAUGACUAGUGGGAAUUGUGUAACUUUUUCGUUCUUGGAAAUUUAUUUCUUAAUGAGAAUAUUUUGCUUUAGGUCCAAAAUACCCUUCAUGAAGCCAAAAUCACUGAGGCAAAAGCUAAGACAGAACAUGAGAAGGUGUGGAAGGAAAAUGUUGAGUUUAAGUCCCAAGAAAAGAAGUUACAGCAGGAAAUUGAACACCAGAAAAGAGAGUACUCAGACCUCCUGGAACAAAUCAUUAUCUUAGAAAAGACCCAGAAAGAUCUGCAAGGAGCUCAGUCUGAAAAAAUCAAUAAUAUUGCUAUAUGUUCAUCUCAGGAAUAAUGUUGGAAAUCUGCAAAAUAAAAUUAAGAGCUU